rnacentral:rRNA from 1 species
UACGUAGGGGGCAAGCGUUGUCCGGAAUCAUUGGGCGUAAAGAGCGUGUAGGCGGUCCGAUAAGUCCGCUCUGAAAGCCCGGGGCUCAACCCCGGGAGGCGGGCGGAUACUGUCGGGCUAGAGUCCGGAAGAGGCAAGUGGAAUUCCUGGUGUAGCGGUGAAAUGCGCAGAUAUCAGGAGGAACACCAAUGGCGAAGGCAGCUCUCUGGGACGGUACUGACGCUGAGACGCGAAAGCGUGGGGAGCGAACAGG